CAGCCGCCACGGGAACACGGAGGGUGCAAGCGUUAAUCGGAAUUACUGGGCGUAAAGCGCACGCAGGCGGUCUGACAAGUCAGAUGUGAAAUCCCCGGGCUUAACCUGGGAACUGCAUUUGAAACUGUCAGGCUGGAGUCUUGUAGAGGGGGGUGGAAUUCCAGGUGUAGCGGUGAAAUGCGUAGAGAUCUGGAGGAAUACCGGUGGCGAAGGCGGCCCCCUGGACAAAGACUGACGCUCAGGUGCGAAAGCGUGGGGAGCAAACAGGAUUAGAUACCCCCUGUAGUCCCUGUCUCUUAUC
rnacentral:rRNA from 1 species